GUCUGCUACCCUAGCACGAAAACGUCUGCCUAUUGGCAUGCAUUUUAGGUUUUUAUUUUUUUAGCAUAAUUUGUCCUUGCCGGCGGGUCACUUUCAAACAACUUUUUCCAUAGUAAAGCACGGGUACAAUCAGGAUCAGGUCUCCGUCCUACAAACAUGGAGAUGGAAUUAGCAGAUUAACACUAGAUGAAGAAGAAGAAGCAGUUCUUCAAGUACAAACAGAGCAGCGCACACAGGGAGAAGAGGGGAUUUUCAGGUUAGUGGGUUGUUUCUUAAUAGCAAGUGUUUUCAUUAUCCUGCAAUGAAAAGUACUAUGGCAAAUUUAUGGCAUCCGGUUCAGGUUGUCCAGAUUCGGGAUCUGGGAGAUAGAAGAUUCUUGUUCCAAUUUUUUCAUGUUAUGGAUUUGGAGAGAGUAUUAAAUGGAUCACCAUGGACAUUUAAUAAUCACUUACUGCUGCUAUACAAAUUACAACUGGGGGAGGAUCCAUUAAGAGUUUUUUUUUUGCUUUUUUUGUAGUCGUUUGGGUCAUAGUGAUGCUUUUUGUGAAGCAAAAAUGGAAGCAGGUAUGGAAGUUGCUGAUAUGGGGUGGAACUUAUCGUUGAGAGCUCAAUCUAGAAGGGCUUUAGCAAUGAAAAGUAUAUGGCUGCGAGAAGACAAUGAUGAUAAUUUUGGAGUUAAUAGUGCAGACAGACGCAUUCAAAGGAACGACAAAUGGGCUGCGAAACACACGCAAGGAUUUUGGUGACCUAUUGACCCAAUACUGGGACUAAGCCUGAAAGGAAAACCGGCUUAUGUGGGGCAAGAGAGAGUUAAAUCGACGAUUAAUCCAGCUCCUGCUGAUAUGGAGCAUGAUCAGGAAGAUGGAAUUUUAAUUGGGGAGGAAGGGCAAAAGAGAGCUAGAGGGGAGAAUGAGGAUGAGAUCAAUAAUUCAAUGAACAGAAAUAGACGAGUAUUGGAAGGUAAUUAUUUAUUAUCGGUGGCUGCCAAGAGGCAUGCCGACCGGGCGCAAUGAAAAUCUUGAGUUGGAAUGUCCGUGGAUUAGGAAGUCCACGGGCGAUUCGCAGACUUCGGCAUUCACUGAAGAUACAUAAUCCCCAAGUGGUUUUCUUUAUGGAAACUAAGGUGUGUAAAAAUAACAUGGAAAGAAUUUGUCAUAGAUGUGGUUAUAUGAAUGGGAUUGAAGUUGAUCCAAUUAAUACUAGAGGUGGUCUAUGUUUAGCAUGGAGGAAUGAUAUUUGCAUUGAGCUUAGGAGUUUUUCUAAGAGACACAUUGAUGUGGUGGUUGAGGAUAAGGAGGUAAAGGGAAAAUGGAGACUCACUGGAUUCUAUGGAUCUCCCUAUGCUCAAGACAUGAGUGAAUCUUGGAAUGUGUUGAGGAAUUUACACAAUGAUGAUGGGAGGCCUUGGUUCGUUUGUGGAGACUUUAAUGAGAUAAUGUACAGCCAUAAAAAAAAAGGAGGGCUACCUUGUGAUGAACGAAAAAUGGAGAAUUUUCGUAUUGUUUUAGUGGAUUGUGAACUUUUGGAUGUGGGCUUUUCUGGGAAUUGGUUUACGUGGGAAAGAGGAAAUCUGCCCUAAACAAAUAUUCGGGAAUGACUUGAUCGUGGAGUUGUUAAUGAUGUAUGGAUGAGUUUGUUUCCGGAGGUCAUUAUUCAACAUAUGCCUCACUCUUUUUCGGAUCAUUGUCCUCUCUUAAUUACUACUAGGAGGGUUGAAAAGGGGAUAAAUACUAAAGCAUUCAAGUUUGAAGCAUGGUGGAUAAUGGAAGAGUCUUUUAAUAAAGUCAAAAAUUUAUGGGAGUCAUCUUCUAGAAGCCUAUUACAAAAGCUAGAUAUCUUAAAAAAAGUCGAACUCAAUUUGAUAGAAGGAGAAAGGAUAUGCUCACAGUUAGACUAUCAGAACUUGCAGGGGAUGAGAGAGAUGAUAUUAACAUGGCAGAAUUGAUUGAUUGUAAAAUUCAAUUGAACUUUGAGAUUGAGAAGGAUGAACGUUACUGGGAACAGUGAGCUCGGAUAAAUUGGUUGAAAUUUGGGGAUAAGAAUACUGUAUUUUUUCAUAACCAAGCGACGCAGCGUAAAAGAAAAAACGUCAUACACAAACUUAACGAUAAAGGAGGAGGAACAACGGAGAUUAUAAAAGAAAUGGAGGGAAUUGCGCGAUCUUAUUUUCAAAAUUUAUCUUCAACAGAUGGACGAGAAAAUCUUGACCAUUUGUUAUCAAGUAUUGAGAAAUGCAUAUCUGAGGAGGAAAACGAAGAUCUUUUGAGGCCUUAUACGGCAGAGGAGUUUAGAGAGGCGCUUUUUACAAUGGGUCCUACCAAAACACCAGGUGAACAUGGCUUCCCGGCACUAUUUUACCAAAAUUGCUGGCACAUCAUUAGGGAGGACGUCACCAAAUUCUGUUUACAAAUUCUAAAUGAAGGUAUGGAUUUUCAACAAAUUAAUGCGACUCAAAUAAAUUUUAUCCCUAAAAUUGAUAAUCAUACUACUAUGAUGGAUUUCCGUCCUAUCAGUCUGUGCAAUGUGCUUUAUAAAAUUACAGCAAAAACGAUUGCAAAUAGGCAUAGAGGAGUUAUCAAAAAAUGCAUUGAUAGGGCCUAAAGUACGUUUGUACCAGGCAGAUUGAACUCAGACAAUAUUCUACUUGCAUAUGAAAUUCUUCAUACUCUUAAACAAAAGAGAAAUGGGAAAAAAGGUCUUAUGGCAGUCAAGUUGGACAUAAGUAAAGCAUAUGACAGGGUUGAGUGGAAUUUUAUAAAAAAAAUGAUGGCACGAAUGGGGUUUGAUAUGAGAGUGAUCAGAAUUUUGAUGAAAUGUUUGACAACGGUCUCCUACUCAGUAGUUGUAAACGAAUACAUAGGAGAAAGCUUUCAACCAACAAGGGGACUUCGUCAGGUAGAUCCACUUAGCCCGUUUCUUUUUCUCAUUUCUGGGGAAGGGCUGUCAUGUUUAAUGAGAUUAGUAUGCAGGGAAGGACUAGUGAAAAGCGCUAAAGCUAGUAGGAACGGACCACAGGUAUCACAUUUACUGUUUGCUGAUGAUUGUAUCUUAUUUGGUCAAGCAACAAGUAGAGAAGCUAAUUUUUUAAAGGAAAUUUUGGGGGAAUAUAGGAGAUGCUCGGGCCAAUGUGUUAACUUUAAUAAGUCCACUGUCUUUUCUAGCAGUAAUACAAAUGAUGAAGAUAAACGAGAGGUGGUAAACAUUUUGGGGGUGCGUAGUUCAGAAAAUCCGGAGAGGUAUUUGGGGUUACCCAACACAGUUGGAAGAAGGAAAAAAUAAUCUUUUCAGGGCCUAAAAGAUAGAUUUAAGAAACGUAUUGACAAUUGGAGCACCAGGUUUUUGUCUCAGGGCGGGAAAGAAGUGUUUAUUAAAUCAGUCCUUCAAUAUACCAACUUACUUUAUGUCGUGUUUCUUAUUACCCAAGUCUUUAUGUUCAGAAAUGGAAAGCAUUAUAGCUCAAUUUUGGUGGCAAAAGGGGAAUGGAAAACGAGGAAUACAUUAGUGUGCAUGGAAAAAUCUUUGCAUUUUAAAAGAAAAUGGGGGUCUUGGUUUUCGAAACACGAGUCAGUUCAAUAUCGCAUUAUUAGCCAAAUGGGGGUGGCGCCUUAUUAAUUACCUGAAUUCAUUAGUGGCUAGAGUGUUCAAGGCUAAAUACUAUCCAAAUACAGACUUUAACAGCACUCAGUUAGGGAAUAUACCUUUUCUUACCUGGAAGAGUGUGUAGGCUGCUAAGGGAUUGUUAAAUAAUGGACUGUGUUGGAGGGUUGGAAAGGGUGACGGGAUCUCGAUCUGGGAGGAACGUUGGCUACCAGGCAAGGAACCUGAAGAGUGGAAUAGUAGAAACAGAAGUGAAGAGUACAAGUUAGUUUCAGAAUUAAUUGAUCCAAAUACCAGAAUGUGGAAGACAGAUAUUAUCAUGCAAAUCAUGCAAAUUCCUCUUGCGAAAAUUCCUCAUAACGACAUUCAAAUGUGGAAGGGAGAAUCGACCGGAGAAUUCACUGUCAGAAGCGCCUACAAACUAUUACAAGAAGCUAGCAUGGAUCCUAGUUAUUAUUAUUUACAGGCCGACUCAAAGAAUUUGUACAAAAAACUUUGGAAUCUAAGACUACCCUAAAAAAUACUGAUUGCAAUUUAGAGAAUUACAUGGAACUAUAUCCCGAAUUUUGUAAAUCUAAAACAUAAGCGAGUGAUCAAUAGUGCUUUAUUCCCUCGUUGCGGGAAUGGAGAAGAAGACAGUGGGCAUGUCUUUUUGAAUUGCCCUGUUACAGUAGUGAUUUGGAGGAAGUUAGAGGUCUCAUGGGUAGACAGAAUAGUUCAAAAUAUCUGGGAAUGGAUCACCUGGAUCUUUCAAAAUACUGCUAUUCAACAGUGUCGCUUGCUCUGCUGUGGCUUGUGGAUUAUAUGGAGUUCACGAAAUAAGCUUGUACACGAAAGGAAGUUAGAGUCAGAAGAUGAGAUUUUACAGAAUAUUCGAAGAUAUAUGGCUGAGAUUGAAGGAUUAGAAGAAAAGAAACUCACCUCUCCAACGGGGUAUAGAAGCAACACUAUAGAUGUAAACACCAGGGCAACGAUUCAGUUUGACGCUGCACUCGAUAACAGAAACCACAGAUCAGCAUCGGGAUUAGUGGUUUGGCGUCAGACGGGGGAACUCCUUGCAUUUAAGUCAAUGAUCAACUGGAAGGUUUCAUCUCCGUUUGUUGCAGAGGCGUAUGCAGGCUUACAGGCUGUUCAAUUAGGGAUCUCGCUAAAACUUCCCUCAGUAACGGUUAUGGGAUAUUCUCAAACAGUUAUCAAAAAAUGCCAGUCAAAGAACUCGGAUAAAUCAAUCAUCGGUACAAUAAUCAGAGACAUUUAUAGCAGUAUGAACAGGUUUCAAGAAAUAAAAUUCCAGUUUAUUAAAAGAACAGAGAAUGCCUAUGCUCACAACCUGGCAAAGGAGUCUUUGAGAAAGAAUGAGGAAACGUACCAGAGAAGGCCGGAUCUGACUCAACACCAUUCCCAACCGGAGAGAAAAUAGAGGAACAACCCAGAUUGAGAUUUGUUUGGGGUUAAUGAAAUAAAACAGAUAGCUGAAAAUGGUAUAUGGAUAAACUAUUGACAAGCAUAGAGAAGACAGUGAUGUGGAAGGAAAUGGAGUACAGUUGUGUCUUGGGAAUCGGCUAGUUUAAUUUCAACAAGCUUCCUUUUUAUUUGUUUUUCAAUUAAUAGGCAGGUUUUAUUAGAAUUAUUUUAAUUAUUUUUGAAACUAAUGGCUAAAGAAAUAGGCCAAUUAUGGGAUAGGAAGUCUAGAGUGUCAUAGGCCUGAACCAUUAUUAUUAGGUUUUGUAUUUGACUUCUUUAUUUAUUUAAGUCUAG
rnacentral:lncRNA from 1 species